GCGAUCAUACCAGCACUAAUGCACCGGAUCCCAUCAGAACUCCGAAGUUAAAUCUGUAACGCCCCGGCUCGGGCGGGCCCCACCCGAACCGAACCGGGAACGCUACCUGAAUUGCCC
rnacentral:rRNA from 1 species